rnacentral:tRNA from 1 species
CAAAGGAUAGUUUAAUUAAAAUAUGAAUUUUGGAGAUUUAAGAUGGAUUAUAUCUUCCUUUGA